rnacentral:sRNA from 1 species
UUGCUAGGUUGUUUGAACCAUGUAGCUUAAUGGUUUAAACGAGUUAGGUAAGUAGUUUUAACUAAUUACCUCACUCGUUUAAACCAUUAGGCUACUUGGUUCAAACAACC